rnacentral:rRNA from 1 species
AAUAGAUACCCUGGUAGUCCACGCCGUAAACGAUGAGUGCUAAGUGUUAGGGGGUUUCCGCCCCUUAGUGCUGCAGCUAACGCAUUAAGCACUCCGCCUGGGGAGUACGGUCGCAAGACUGAAACUCAAAGGAAUUGACGGGGGCCCGCACAAGCGGUGGAGCAUGUGGUUUAAUUCGAAGCAACGCGAAGAACCUUACCAGGUCUUGACAUCCCGUUGACCACUAUGGAGACAUAGUUUUCCCUUCGGGGACAACGGUGACAGGUGGUGCAUGGUUGUCGUCAGCUCGUGUCGUGAGAUGUUGGGUUAAGUCCCGCAACGAGCGCAACCCUUGUUCUUAGUUGCCAUCAUUUAGUUGGGCACUCUAAGGAGACUGCCGGUGACAAACCGGAGGAAGGUGGGGAUGACGUCAAAUCAUCAUGCCCCUUAUGACCUGGGCUACACACGUGCUACAAUGGACGGUACAAACGGUUGCCAACCCGGCAGGGGGGAGCUAAUCCGAUAAAACCGUUCUCAGUUCGGAUUGUAGGCUGCAACUCGCUACAUGAAGCC